ensembl:lncRNA novel transcript, sense overlapping TAF15
CUUUUCUUAAAUCUGUUUGCAUCAAUGAAUAUACCUCCUACAGAUUAAAACAAAUCUCCUUGGUAUUGUAAAGUUUAUGUUUUAUUUAGGAAAUCUCUUAGAAGAAACAAUUAUUAAAGAAAUUUAAUGUCAGACGCUAUGGCUCAUGACUCUAGUCCCAGUACUUUGGGAGGCCAAGAUGGGAGGAUUGCUUGAGGCCAGGAGUUAGAAACCAGCUUGGGUAAUAUAGCGAGACCUUGUCUCUAAAAAAAAAAUUUUUUUAAUUAUCCAGACAUAGUGGUGUGUACCUGUAGUCCUAGCUACUUGGGAGGCUGAGGCAGGAGAAUGGCGUGAACCUGGGAGGCAGAGCUUGCAGUGAGCCGAGAUUGCAUCAGUGCACUCCAGCCUGGGCUACAGAGCGAGACUCUUGUCUCCAAAAAAA